rnacentral:rRNA from 1 species
GACGAACGCUGGCGGCGUGCUUAACACAUGCAAGUCGAACGGAAAGGCCCUGCUUUUGUGGGGUGCUCGAGUGGCGAACGGGUGAGUAACACGUGAGUAACCUGCCCUUGACUUUGGGAUAACUUCAGGAAACUGGGGCUAAUACCGGAUAGGAGCUCCUGCUGCAUGUGGGGGGAUGGAAAGAUUCGGCUGUUGGGGAUAGAUUCGCGGCUUAUCAGCUUGUUUGUGGGGUAGUGGCUGACCAAGGCUUUGAGGGGUAGCCUGCCUUAGAGGGUUAACGGCGACAUUGGGACUACGAGACGGCCCAGACUCCUAUGGUCGGCAGCGGUGGGGAAUAUGGCGCAAUGGGCGGAAGCGUGAUGCAGUAACGUCGCGUGCGGGAAGCCGGCUUUCGGGUUGUAAACAGCUUUCGCCUGUGACGAGGCGUGCGUGACGGUAACGGGUAAAGAAGCACCGGCUAACUACGUG